rnacentral:rRNA from 1 species
UACGUAGGGGGCUAGCGUUGUCCGGAUUUAUUGGGCGUAAAGAGCGUGUAGGCGGUCAGGUAGGUCUGCUGUGAAAACUCGAGGCUCAACCUCGAGACGUCGGCGGAAACCAUCUGGCUAGAGUCCGGAAGAGGAGAGUGGAAUUCCUGGUGUAGCGGUGAAAUGCGCAGAUAUCAGGAAGAACACCCGUGGCGAAGGCGGCUCUCUGGAACGGUACUGACGCUGAGACGCGAAAGCGUGGGGAGCGAACAGG